GUGGGGAAUAUUGGACAAUGGGGGGAACCCUGAUCCAGCCAUGCCGCGUGUGUGAAGAAGGCCUUUUGGUUGUAAAGCACUUUAAGCGAGGAGGAGGCUACCGAGAUUAAUACUCUUGGAUAGUGGACGUUACUCGCAGAAUAAGCACCGGCUAACUCUGUGCCAGCAGCCGCGGUAAUACAGAGGGUGCAAGCGUUAAUCGGAUUUACUGGGCGUAAAGCGCGCGUAGGUGGCCAAUUAAGUCAAAUGUGAAAUCCCCGAGCUUAACUUGGGAAUUGCAUUCGAUACUGGUUGGCUAGAGUAUGUGAGAGGAUGGUAGAAUUCCAGGUGUAGCGGUGAAAUGCGUAGAGAUCUGGAGGAAUACCGAUGGCGAAGGCAGCCAUCUGGCCUAAUACUGACACUGAGGUGCGAAAGCAUGGGGAGCAAACAGGAUUAGAAACCCGGGUAGUCC
rnacentral:rRNA from 1 species